GACGGAGGGUGCUAGCGUUGUUCGGAUUUACUGGGCGUAAAGGGCGCGUAGGCGGCCUUCUCAGUCGGGUGUGAAAGCCCGGGGCUCAACCCCGGAACGGCACCCGAGACGGGAAGGCUGGAGACCGGGAGAGGAGGGUGGAAUAGCCAGUGUAGCGGUGAAAUGCGCAGAUAUCAGGAGGAACACCAAUGGCGAAGGCAGCUCGCUGGGACGGUACUGACGCUGAGGCGCGAAAGCGUGGGGAGCAAACAGG
rnacentral:rRNA from 1 species